AUUAUGUCUUACUAAUAUAGAUGAGUGGUGGAAAUUGUUUGGUAAUGAUGCUCCACAUUUACAAAAGUUGGCAAUUAAACUCUUGAGCCAAACAUCUUCUUCUUCGGGAUGUGAACGCAAUUGGAGUGUAUUUGAACGCAUCCAUACCAAAAAGAGAAAUAGACUUGAGCAUCAAAGGCUUUCAUAUAAAAAGAGGUCUUAUGAUCCGGUGGAUUAUGAAACUAUUGAUAAAGUUGAAUUUUGGGUAAUUGAUGAGGAACAAGAAGGAGAGCUUGAUUAUGAUGAGUUAGAAGAAAUGAUUGAAGAAGAAUUUCCCAAAACUAGCGAGAAUGAAGCCUCUCAAUCACAUAAGAAAGACACAAAUAUUGUGCAACUUGAUGAUGAGGAUGAUGUUGAUGAUAUCGACUUCGAAAGUUAUGAAAUUGGAGAUAAGGAUGAUGAGGAUGAAGAUGAAGAAUGGCUUAGAUAGUUCUGUGGAACAUGGUGUUUUAUUUAGAUUGAUAUUAUCAAGCAUUUGAACAUGAACUUGUUACCUUAUUUGGAUUGCUAUUUGUUAAUGAUUGAACAUAUAUGGGAUUUCUAUUUUAUAAAUUUGUGAGUUUGGAUGAAUUUGGUGAAUUGUUUGAUGAAUUAGAUA